AAACAUUAAUAUUAAUCCUAAUAUCAUUGACAAUAAAUUUCAAAGCACUAAGUACUCGUUCUACCCGGACUUGUAUAGCAGGAACAUGAUGAAGUGCUAUUCUUUCAGACACUUGUGAACUACUAUAACUCACAAUCACAAACCACCGCUUUGAUGCGUCAGUUGUAGACACCCAUAACAAGGCGUGUAAAGAAAUCUCAACAUAUUUUAGUACCCUUCUCUCCACAAUGGUAGCGCUGGUAAUCACUUCAAUUUCCAAGUCUCUCUUAGCUAUCCAUAUAAAUUGUUGCUCGGGACUGAUGAAAGAAUAUUACUUUACUAGAGCAAGAAGAAACAUUAAAAAAUAGCGACUAGGGAAAAUCACUAGGGAAGAGUAUCUAGUUUGAACUUUUUUAUCUUGGGAUGUCAAGGAAUUUGAAAGAUGUAUAUUAAUUUUAGAUGGGAUGGAAUUGGGGUUUGACAUGGACCUGAAAGACGUAGCAUGAAGUAGGGUUUUAGACAAGGGAGGACGUACAGUAAGACCAUGAACCUGAAGGACGGUGUACGAAGUCCAUGGACUCAGCAUCGACGGCUGGUUAAGGUUAUAUUUCUUAUUUCGACCACAAUAUAUUCUAGAGGGCGUAAAAAAUUGCCAAAUUUUUCGAUAAUUCUUUUGCGAACCCUGGGUUAUAAUCAUAAACGUAUACUUAAGGAUAGACCGCGAGACCGGGCCGAAAAAGAGAGUAGAAAGAGAUAGCUGGCACUGAUGGCUCUCUAUCCUUGUUUAAUCGCGCAUGCACUGUAUAGCUGGUACUUGGUGGUGGUGGUACAUACAUGACCGUUCCAACGAGGGAUGCCAGAAUGUAGGAUUUCUCCUCUUCCCGAGCUGUCUCCUACUUCUUUCUUUUGCCCCCACGUACGUUACCCAUGAUCAUUGGGGACAUGUCUAAUAAUGCCAUAUGUAAGUGGGGAAAGCAUAUUGAGCAUACAGCAGCAUACAGUAGUGGGGAGAGCUCGGGAAGAGGAGAAAUCCUACAUUCUGGCAUCCCUGGUUCCAACUAUACAGGGUGAUUCUCUCGCUAGGGUAGACAAAGGCUGUGCCGCCGUGUAAACAUUGUAACCAAAACCCAUAGUACUGUAGCCGCUGUGCCAUUGGGAGGUGGAGGACGGAUGGCUACUGUAACGAGGACGAUUGUGUGCGUACAUGUGUGAGCUACAGUACUAUAGGUUUUGGUUACAAACGGCGGCACGCCUUUGUCUACCCUAACGAGAGAAUCACCCUGUAUUUGAGUUCACGAGAGAACAGACCAUGGACCUGAAGGACGGAAUAUAAACUGCUUUUAUAGAUGAAGGGGGGUGAAGCUCCGUCCGUGGCGGGGGAACAGUCAAAUCGGCCAUCUUGUAGGAGCGACAAGUGGCGUCGCCUGUCUGUAAAACUUAUACAAAUCUUGCGCGCGCUAAAGCAAGCGUGUGUCACGGCUAUGUACAUACAUACAUGAGCGUACUUGUGGAAAUUUGCUCCUAGACGCCAAUGACGCUAAUAUGGCCGUUACCAUGAAGAUACGCGACGCGGGCGCGGACGCUACAUGAAGAGAGCGCCACCAGUCGCUCCUAAAAAAUGGCUGACAUUUCGGAUCCCCCCUUCCGUUUUCCGUCACAGUUUAUCGCAGGCAAUGCUCCGUCCUUCAGGUCCAUGGAACCAGGGAUGCCGUAUUGAGCGAUUUUUCUCGCGCCUCCUCUUCGCCUGGAGACCCCUACUACCGUAUUUUGUCCACGCUUAUGUUACUCUUGGACAUGCGCCUGAUGCGCCUACCGGCUUCCUACGUGACUUGAACCUUUUUUAUGCACAAGACGCAUGACAAAUACGUCACGUGGAAAGCCGGUAGGCGCACCAGGCGCAUGUUCAAGAGUAAUGUAAGCGUGGACAAAAUACGGUAGUGGGGGUAGAAAAAUCGCUCAAUACGGCAUCCCUGCAUGGAACAGACCCGUUUCGUGCAGCUUGUAGGUAAUGGGGGUAACCGAAUACGUAAGUCCUAGUAGGGGCGACGAUAUGGACAGCAUUAAAGAGAAAGAGAGAGCUGCGCACAAUGAUCGAAAAUUGGUCAAAAGAAGCAUUCAUGAUGAUGAGCAUUUUCUUGAAUAAGAAGUAUUUAUGGACCAUGGUCAUCAAUUAAUUUUAAUGAUUCUAUUAACAUAUAUGGAUAUUCGUUUGAAACACGAAGGCAAAAUUUUGCAAGAUGAAAACCAAAGAAUCAGGAUGCAGAAUAAUAAGUUAACAAUAUUUAAAGGACAAUAACUUUGUCAAAUACUUUCGAAUUAUUUAUAAUAUGUUUGUUACAUAAUAAAAAUGACGAACAGCAUUUUAUGAUUUAC